ensembl:snRNA U1 U1 spliceosomal RNA
AUACUUACCUGGCAGGGGAGAUACCAUGAUCAAGAAGGUGGUUCACCCAGGGCGAGGCUCAGCCAUUGCACUCCGGUUGAGCUGACCUCUGCGAAUUCCCCAAAUGUGGGAAUCUCGACUGCAUAAUUUCUGGUAGUGGGGGACUGCGUUCGCGCUCUCCCCUG